UACGGAGGAUGCAAGCGUUAUCCGGAAUUAUUGGGCGUAAAGCGUCCGCAGGUGGUUAGACAAGUCUGCUGUUAAAGCGUGGAGCUUAACUCCAUAACGGCGGUGGAAACUGUCUGACUAGAGUUCGGUAGGGGUCACGGGAAUUCCCAGUGUAGCGGUGAAAUGCGUAGAUAUUGGGAAGAACACCAGCGGCGAAAGCGCGUGACUGGGCCGAGACUGACACUCAUGGGCGAAAGCGUGGGGAGCAAACAGG
rnacentral:rRNA from 1 species